UGAGCAUCCUUUGGCAUAUCACUUGUCUGCUACUGCUGCAUUCCUGCACCCCAGGUAUUCACAUCCAGUCUACUUUAGUAAUUACAACAGGUUGUUUAUCAGAAUAAGUCAUGACAUUAUUUCAUAGAACUAUGCUCUUUAUAGGUUUCUUCAUAAAUGGCAUUGUUGGCGGUAGGGUCUCUAUUCCCCACAGUCGACCCUACAUGGUCUACAUUCGUGACAAGAAAAUAAAACAAACAUGUGGUGGUUUUUGGUGAGAGAGGAUUAUGUGAUGACAGCUGCCCACUGUAAACCAAGGUUUAAUCAUCUUGAGGUAUUUGUGGGGGUCCAUGACACCAACUUUUUACCUGACGGUAUAGAGGUAGAUCCCAUUCCACAUCCAAAAUUCAAUAUGAAGAGAACAGAUCAUGACAUCAUGCUUCUAAAGCUCAAAACCCCACUAUCUUUGAGCAAAUUUGUGAGAACUAUCACUUUUCCAAAUCCUGAGAAUGAAAAAAUGUCAAGUAACUGCCUGGUCAUGGGUUGGGGCUGGAAGAAAUACCAUGAAGAGUCU